rnacentral:rRNA from 1 species
GAUGAACGCUAGCUACAGGCUUAACACAUGCAAGUCGUGGGGCAUCAUGAUGUAGUAAUACAUUGAUGGCGACCGGCGCACGGGUGAGUAACGCGUAUCCAACCUACCCUCCACUCAAGUAUAGGCUUCCGAAAGGGAGAUUAAUCCUUGAUAUCGUCAUUCUCUCUCCUGUUAGAAUGAUAAAAGGACAUCGUUUCGGUAGAGGAUGGGGAUGCGUUCCAUUAGGUAGUAGGUGGUUUAACAGGCCACCUAGCCGAUGAUGGAUAGGGGUUCUGAGAGGAAUAUCCCCCACACUGGUACUGAGAUACGGACCAGACUCCUACGGGAGGCAGCAGUGAGGAAUAUUGGUCAAUGGGCGCAAGCCUGAACCAGCCAUGUAGCGUGAAGGAUGACGGUUUUUUUGAUUGUAAACUUCUUUUCUGUGCGA